UACGGGGGGGGGCAAGCGUUGUUCGGAAUUACUGGGCGUAAAGGGCUCGUAGGCGCCAACUAAGUCAGACGUGAAAUCCCUCGGCUUAACCGGGGAACUGCGUCUGAUACUGGAUGGCUUGAGAUUGGGAGAGGGAUGCGGAAUUCCAGGUGUAGCGGUGAAAUGCGUAGAUAUCUGGAGGAACACCGGUGGCGAAGGCGGCAUCCUGGACCAACACUGACGCUGAGUGAGCGAAAGCCAGGGGAGCAAACGGG
rnacentral:rRNA from 1 species